CCUACGGGUGGCAGCAGUGAGGAAUAUUGGUCAAUGGGCUUACGCCUGAACCAGCCAAGUCGCGUGAGGGAAGACUGCCCUAUGGGUUGUAAACCUCUUUUGUCAGGGAGCAACGCCGGCUACGUGUAGCCGGACUGAGAGUACCUGAAGAAAAAGCAUCGGCUAACUCCGUGCCAGCAGCCGCGGUAAUACGGAGGAUGCGAGCGUUAUCCGGAUUUAUUGGGUUUAAAGGGUGCGUAGGCGGAAUGCCAAGUCAGCGGUAAAAUCCCGGGGCUCAACCUCGCCGAGCCGUUGAAACUGGCGGUCUUGAGAUGUCGAGAGGUAUGCGGAAUGCGCGGUGUAGCGGUGAAAUGCUUAGAUAUUGCGCAGAACUCCGAUUGCGAAGGCAGCAUACCGGCGGCGAUCUGACGCUGAAGCACGAAAGCGUGGGUAUCGAACAGGAUUAGAUACCCGGGUAGUC
rnacentral:rRNA from 1 species